rfam:Mustela putorius furo unplaced genomic scaffold scaffold00026, whole genome shotgun sequence.
GCCUGGCUGGCUCAGUAGGUAGAGCAUGUUGACUCUUGAUCUCAGGGUCAUGAGUUCAAGUCCCAUGUUGGGUG